rnacentral:ncRNA from 17 species
CAUUAAGCAAUACACCGAGUGACAGGGCGCUAAGUGGUCUCCAUAAGCCCUUGUCACCUCGCAGUAGCGACAGGGUAGCGAUUGGAAACGGCGUUGCCUCCCGUGUUUGGAAAGGUGAAUAAUGUUACAGGAU